rnacentral:ncRNA from 2 species
CAGCAGCCCUAGGGGAGUGAUUUUCUUUCACUGAGAGUCCGCGCGAGCGGACGACCCUUCGAACCUGAUCCGGGUCAUUCCGGCGUAGGAAAGCGGCGCACCAUCCGG